rnacentral:rRNA from 1 species
UUUGAUACCCUAUUAUUUUGAACUAGAUUGAUAUUACCAGGUUAGUAGUAGUUAUGUGCUUGAAAAUUAAAGAAGAUGGCGGUAUUUUAGUCUAUUCAGAGGAACCUGUCCUAUAAUCGAUGAUCCACGAUUUAUUAUACUUAUUUUAUAAGUUUGCAUAUCGCCGUAGAUUGAAUGUCCUUGAAGGGAUUUAAACAUUCAAGAGGUUUUUAUUUGUGAAAUUAAAUCAGGUCAAGAUGUAGCUAAUAAAUAAGAAGAGAUGGGUUACAAUAAAUUUAUUUAUAACGGAUUAAUAUAUGAAAUUUGGGAAAAGGCGGA